rnacentral:rRNA from 1 species
AUGCAUCAGCGCCGUCUCAGGUCCAAGCUCGCACUCGAUCGUCGUCGAUCAGUACCGCGCGUCGCCCGUCCGGCUCUGCUGGUAGUCGCUGUGCUCGCCGUACUGGCUGCGCUGGUAGUUGCUGCCGCCGUCGCUCGCGUCGGCGUACUGGUCGCGCUGGUAGUUGUGGAUGUCGCUGCUGCCGUCGCGCGCCUCGCCGGACCGCGGCUGCUGCUGGUUCUGCGCGGCAGCGGCGCCGGCGCCGGCGCCGUUGGACGUGGGCGGGCGCUGCAGGCUCUUGACGUACGCCCAGGCCUCCCGCUGCGAGACCUUGUCCCACCAGCGGCUGACGUUCUUGCGGCGCUGGAACAUGCGGCGGGAGCGCGGGUCGGCGGCGAGGCGGUCGGCGUUGGGCAGGUGCGACAGGUCGGCGAUGGUGAACUUGUCGCCGGCCAGGUACUCCGCCUCCUCCAGGCGCUGCUCGUAGAUGUCCAGCAGCUUCUCCAGCUCCCUCUGGCUCUUCUCGAACAUCUUCCGCAUCUCCUCCUCCUUGGCCGCCCCCGCCGCCGUCACGCGCUUCGCCGACGCGUUCACCACGGCCCUAGUGCCAUUAUUGCCGUUGCCGUUGCCGUCGCCGUCGUCGUUGUUGAGCUUCUGCGGCAUGGCGGGCGGCAGGAAGGCGAGGCUGUAGACCAUCUGGGCGCUGGGCUCGUCGAAGCUCUGCGCCUCGGUCUGCAGCCACUGCUCGAUGGACGCGCGCUCCAGCGCCCCCGUGCCGAUCAGGUCCGGGUUGCCCUGCAUGGCGUACUUGUGCGAGAUGUGCCGCAGGAUGCCCCGCGACUCUGCAUGCAGCACACAUGGGUACCAUCGUCAGAAACCAUCGUGAACCAUGCGUCUACCACCAUCGCCGACCGCCGCUUAGAGCUUAGAGGAGCUUACCGGAGAGGGUGA